rnacentral:rRNA from 1 species
UACGGAGGGUGCGAGCGUUGUCCGGAAUCACUGGGCGUAAAGGGCGCGUAGGCGGCAGAUUAAGUCAGCUGUGAAAUCUCCGAGCUUAACUCGGAACUGUCAGCUGAUACUGUUUUGCUAGAGUGCGGAAGGGGCAAUCGGAAUUCUUGGUGUAGCGGUGAAAUGCGUAGAUAUCAAGAGGAACACCUGAGGUGAAGACGGGUUGCUGGGCCGACACUGACGCUGAGUGCGCGAAAGCCAGGGGAGCAAACGGG